GACGAACGCUGGCGGCGCGCCUAACACAUGCAUGUCGAGCGGGACCUACUUGUGCGUCACUUCGGUGACAAACUUGUAACGUCUAGCGGCGGAUGGGUGAGUAACAUGUGAGUAAUCUACCCUUAAGCGGGGAACAACAUUUGGAAACAGAUGCUAAUGCCCCAUAAAAUAUAUUGAUGGCAUCAUCGGAUAUAUUAAAGAUUUAUCGCUUUUGGAUGAGCUCGCACCUGAUUAGCUAGUUGGUAAGAUAAUGGCUUACCAAGGCAACGAUCAGUAGCCGGACUGAGAGGUUGAUCGGCCACAUUGGGACUGAGACACGGCCCAGACUCCUACGGGAGGCAGCAGUGGGGAUAUUGCACAAUGGAGGGAACUCUGAUGCAGCGACGUCGCGUGGGUGAAGACGGUCUUCGGAUUGUAAACUUCUAUCAGUAGGGAAGAAGAAAUGACGGUACCUAACUAAGAAGCCCGGCUAACUACGUGCCA
rnacentral:rRNA from 1 species